rnacentral:rRNA from 1 species
GACGAACGCUGGCGGCGUGCCUAAUACAUGCAAGUUGAGCGAUGAAGAUUGGUGCUUGCACCAAUUUGAAGAGCAGCGAACGGGUGAGUAACGCGUGGGGAAUCUGCCUUUGAGCGGGGGACAACAUUUGGAAACGAAUGCUAAUACCGCAUAACAACUUUAAACAUAAGUUUUAAGUUUGAAAGAUGCAAUUGCAUCACUCAAAGAUGAUCCCGCGUUGUAUUAGCUAGUUGGUGAGGUAAAGGCUCACCAAGGCGAUGAUACAUAGCCGACCUGAGAGGGUGAUCGGCCACAUUGGGACUGGGACACGGCCCAAACUGCUACGGGAGGCAGCAGUAGGGAAUCUUCGGCAAUGGACGAAAGUCUGACCGGGCAACGCCGCGUGAGUGAAGAAGGUUUUCGGAUCGUAAAACUCUGUUGGUAGAGAAGAACGUUGGUGAGAGUGGAAAGCUCAUCAAGUGACGGUAACUACCCAGAAAGGGACGGCUAACUACGUG